rnacentral:rRNA from 1 species
UACGAAGGGGGCUAGCGUUGCUCGGAAUCACUGGGCGUAAAGCGCACGUAGGCGGACUCUUAAGUCGGUGGUGAAAUCCUGGAGCUCAACUCCAGAACUGCCUUCGAUACUGAGAGUCUUGAGUCCGGGAGAGGUGAGUGGAACUGCGAGUGUAGAGGUGAAAUUCGUAGAUAUUCGCAAGAACACCAGUGGCGAAGGCGGCUCACUGGCCCGGUACUGACGCUGAGGUGCGAAAGCGUUGGGGAGCAAACAGG